CGCAGGCACAAGAGGAAGGUGCAGCUGCUGCUGCUGCCGUUGGAGGCCCGCGUGGCCUGAAGAGCCUGCGGGCCUGCUGGGUCCUGGGCUCCUGGCAAGCUCAGUGAUGCUCGCCCGGUGGAGUCUGGGGGCCUGGCCCUGAGGGCGCCGCCAGCUGAAAUCUGCGUCUUGAGCUAGGCCUGGGUACUGGCAGGACGACCCGGACGGGGUGCUGGAGGAGCGCUGCUGGGCAGGGAGACCAGCCCCUGCGGGGAUCCGCCUCUUAGCCUCGGCUUGGACCUGAGAGGGCAAAACUCGAUCCUUAGGACCUUGACCAAGUAAAAUGAGGGAAGUUUGCUAAUAAAGAUACCACCAAAGAUUCGAAGCAUAAUCAUCCAGAGGAAAUGCUGGUAGUAUGGCUGUAUGUGUAUGUUCAAAACUCUCUACAGCAGAUGGUCUUGUUUUAGGGGCUGUCCAGAUUAUGAUUGGCAUAUUUCAUGUUUUCAUGUGGUACUUCCUACUGAUUUUGUAUAUGGGACAAAUUAGAGGAGUCUUUGGCGCAUACGAACCUAUAACUUACAAAGCAGGAUGUCCUUUAUGGGGAGUCAUCUUUAUCAUUGCAGGAGUCUCCAUAAUAAGAGUAGCAAAGCAUCCAACUCCAGGCGUGAUUACAUUUGCUUUGAUCAUGAACAUCUCAUGCAUAAUUACUUCAGUUAUUGCAUCAGUUCUAACAAUAAUUGAGUUGUCUUCUUUUAAUUCGGUGUCAUAUAGGAAUUAUGGACAAGCGAAACUUGGAAGGGAAGUUUCACGUAUUUUACUGCUCUCUUACUCCUUUGAGAUUUCUGUUGCGUUAACAUACGCAAUCUUUGGCUGUAUUGGUUUGAAAUGAAGGUGAAAUAAAGACACACACAGAUGAACAAAGAGAAUGUGUGGCUAGGAGAACUGCCUUAGACACUAUAGGAAAUUCUUUGGUCUAAAAGAAGGUAAUAUCAGAUGGAACUCAACACCUGAAGAAAUAAAGAGCAUCAGGUAAAGAGUCGUCAUAAUGAAGAUAGUCUCACAGCUGUCCCAGAGGAAUUUGAGAGUACUUUUUAAGAACCUUAAAAAUGUGAGAUUUUUCCUGGUGCUCAUACCUGCUGUGGGCCCUAAUGAUAUCUCUGUAUAACAAAGCUGCUACAAAGCCCACAGGUGUUGUGCAAAAGAAAAUACAAAACAAGUUGGAUUUUUUCUUCUCGGUAUUCAAGAAAUUUCUCUGCACAUAUUUUUGUAGGCUCCAAGUAGAAAGCUUUUCCCUAUUUAAAUACGUUAUUAUGAGGGAAAAAUUAUCUUCUAGUACUCUGAACCUGUCAACCCUGUCUUAACUCUGAAGCUGUCACCUCUCCCUAAGAGAGCUUUUGUAAGAGACCAUAAAAAAGAUCUGUGAUUGUCUCUAGAGGGCAGGCUAUAAAGACUUGGUGAGUGAUACUACGUAAUUCUCAGGAAAACUUUAAAAUACAAGUAAAGAGUACAUUUCAGUAUGACUUCUUCUACCAGAACUAGCUUCUACUUGAACAAAGGAUGAAUCCAAAGUCAUCCGACUCAUAGUCCCUUCAUUGUUCCUCUUUGACUGUCUCUCUCCUCAUUAAAGUUCCUUCCUGCCCUGAAA